UUGGUGGGGUGAUGGCCUACCAAGGCGACGACGGGUAGCCGGCCUGAGAGGGUGACCGGCCACACUGGGACUGAGAUACGGCCCAGACUCCUACGGGAGGCAGCAGUGGGGAAUAUUGCGCAAUGGGCGGAAGCCUGACGCAGCGACGCCGCGUGAGGGAUGACGGUCUUCGGAUUGUAAACCUCUUUCACCCACGACGAAGCGAAAGUGACGGUAGUGGGAGAAGAAGCACCGGCCAACUACGUGCCAGCAGCCGCGGUAAUACGUAGGGUGCAAGCGUUGUCCGGAAUUAUUGGGCGUAAAGAGCUCGUAGGCGGCUUGUCACGUCGACUGUGAAGACCCGGGGCUCAACUCCGGGCCUGCAGUCGAUACGGGCUGGCUUGAGUGCGGUAGGGGAGACUGGAAUUCCUGGUGUAGCGGUGAAAUGCGCAGAUAUCAGGAGGAACACCGGUGGCGAAGGCGGGUCUCUGGGCCGUAACUGACGCUGAGGAGCGAAAGCGUGGGGAGCGAACAGGAUUAGAUACCCUGGUAGUCCACGCCGUAAACGUUGGGCGCUAGGUGUGGGGACCUAUCCACGGUCUCCGUGCCGCAGCUAACGCAUUAAGCGCCCCGCCUGGGGAGUACGG
rnacentral:rRNA from 1 species